rnacentral:rRNA from 1 species
GUAACCGAAAGGGAGGUGCCAACGGCCCAGCGCCUCUCGCUAAAUUGGACGGCCUUGGUCACUCGCUUUUCAAUUCACGAGACCGAAAAGCAUCGCACAGUUCACAAGGCCGAAAAGCGUCGCAAUUCACAACUUCAUUCAGAAAAUCAAAGCGGACACACACCAAAAUCCAAUCCUAAUAGUACCGUCCAAUUUUCACCGGACUAAGCGACGGCACGGCACCCGUAGCAGUAGCACGCUCCGGUCAGUCGAGGAUGUCGCACUGCCGCCUGACGACGCCCUGCCGUCCCGUCUUGACGCCGACGGUGCCGAGCUUCUGCAUCGCCUUGGCGAAGUCCUGGAAGAAGGCGGUCCGGUUGUCGGCGUACUGCUGGACGAACACCUUGGUGGGCGGGUACUCCCACAGCGCGGCGUCGGAGGCGAGCAGCCCGAGGCCACGGGGCAGGUUCUUGAAGUAGAGCUCGUCGAAGUCCCGCGGCGUCACGAUGUCGUUGAAGAUGGAGAUGUCCGGGUUGCUCUCGUAGCCGGCGCAGGAGCUCUGCAGCGCCCGCGCGAACUCCGGGUUCAGCGACGGGUCGUGCCCGGCGCCGCUGCCCUUGCCCUUGUAGUUGUACACCCGGUGCGCGAACUCGGAGCAGUGGGAGAAGCCCACGGUGUGGGCGCCCGCCAGCGCCACCAUCUCCUGCGGCGUGAUGCCCUUGCGCGCGAACAGGACCGUCAUGGCGCGCGCCGACAUGUUGGUGCGCGGGAGGUUGCCCUCCACGUCGCGCGCGUCGGAGCGGCGCGCGUCGCGGCGGCCGAGGAGGACGGGGAACCGCGGCCCGCCCAGGAUCCCCACCAGGUCGCGCGCGGCCAGCGCGAGGAUGUCGGCGCAGGAGACGGUGCCCGGGCAGGCGGCCUCCAGCGCGGCCUUGGCGCGGGCCACGGCGUCGAAGGCGUCCCCCGGGAGGGACAGGUUGAUCUCCGCGGCGCGCUCCGGGGUACGGUCCGAGGAGAGCGGGGAGACGAGGACGGAGGCGUCGCAGCCGGAGACGAAGCAGUCGUGGAAGAAGAGGCGCAGCGUGCCCGCCGCCGUGGACGGGUUGGCGUGCUGCUUGGCGGCGACCACGUCCGAGACGAUCUGCUCCACGCGGGGGCAGCUGCGGCUGUAGUACGACGUCGACAGCCUGGCCGCCGCCGCCGCCGCGCCGGGGGUCGCGGCAGCGGCGAGGAGCGCGAGGGAGAGGAGGACGCGGCGGAGAAGCGUGCCCAUGUAGAGAGAGAGAGAGAGAGAGAGAGAGAGAGAGAGAGAGAGAGAGGUGGCUGGAUUUGGAAAUGAGAGAGACGGAGAUUGGGGUGAGGGGAAAAGGGUGGUGGAGUGGAGAAGAAGGGCGAAGUGGGAGGAUUAGUGGGGUGUUAGUGAUGACUGAUGAGUGAAGUAAUUGUGAGGUUUAAGGUUAGGGGGAACGGUGGUGCGGUGGCCGCGGAUGUUCCUGCCGCAACCGCGGUGGAGCUCGAGGAGGGAUGGACGGAUGUUCCUGCCGCAACCGCGGUGAGUUCUUUAUUAGGGCAUCUUCAAUAGAUUGUAUGUUAGUUUUGUUAGUAAAAUGUUCAAACUCCUGA